UACGAAGGGGGCUAGCGUUACUCGGAUUGACUGGGCGUAAAGGGCGCGUAGGCGGUUCGUACAGUCAGACGUGAAAUUCCUGGGCUCAACCUGGGGGCUGCGUUUGAUACGUGCGGGCUUGAGUUCGGAAGAGGGUCGUGGAAUUCCCAGUGUAGAGGUGAAAUUCGUAGAUAUUGGGAAGAACACCGGUGGCGAAGGCGGCCUUCUGGACAGUGACUGACGCUGAGACGCGAAAGCGUGGGGAGCAAACAGG
rnacentral:rRNA from 1 species